UUAUAAACAAGCUUGUAAAGCACCAAUGAAAUUGAUGUCCAAGAGAGACAAAAUCAAGUUGCUACAGAGUCUAUACAAGAUAGACCAAUAAGUUCCAAAAGAUAAGAAUCCUCGGAAACAAAAGAGAAAGGUGCAUAGAAUGACAAAACAUAUCCAAAGUCGAGGAAACUAUCCCAGACAUAGACAAUGGCCGGCCAAUCUAAGGUACCACCCAAUCGAGUUUGGGACGCCAAACUCCAUAGAACUAAUGGUCAUGAAGGUAAUAAGGUUGCAACCAAUUAUGUUAUGUCUGGAAUGUAAUGGAACAUAUAAAGAAUGUCGACAUAAGAUGAUAUAAGGAAGCACAUAAAAGGUAGCACUUGAACAUAUGAAUAUAAGCGAGGAUCAUCAAUAUAAGAGUGUACACUCAUAGAUCAGAUUAGACUGAAAUGGAAAUGUGGGGUUAAAUAAUUUAAAGAAGAGAGGCGUAUUUGGCCAAUAAAUAAAGACGCCCUAUGAUUAAACCAGUGGAAUAUAGAUGAGUCUUGUGAGAAGUAAAAUCGUGAGAUAAAGAACAUAAUCACGUGGUCUAAGUUGUCCAUGUUUCUACUUACAGCAUUCAAGUAUGGCUUGUUACACAAGGAAUCUCACAUAGACCAGGAAUAGAGACUGUGGCGGAUGCUACUACAUAUUUCGAAAUUGAUAAAGUCUGGACAAAAGAAAGAAAUUAGAUUAAUGUAUAAAGGAUGUAGUAAGCAGCAUAUGAUACAUUGGAUAAAGAAAUAUAUUGAGUUCAAAGAUGAGAUAAGAAGUUCUCAAGAAAACAACAUUGUAUAAAGCUGAACAAAACUGCUUAUGGACUGAAACAAAGCACCUGCAUAUAGUAUGAUAGACUAAGUAAAUACUUAGUAAAAGAAGUUCUAUAAGAACAAUUCAAAUCAGUCCAUGUAUCCUUAUAAAGAAAUUCGAAUUCCUUGUGUUUAUUUUAUACUAACCAGUCCAAAGAGGGUUUAUUUGGUUUUGUUGAUUUGUUUUCAAACAGGUUAUGCAAUAUCUUGGCAAUCCAUAUCAUUGCAGCAACAAAAGCACGUGGGACUGCAAUACCUUUUAGUAUCACGCGGAAAGCAUAGCCAUACAAGAGGCAAGCCGUGGGUGUGUGUGUCUUGAGAUCCAUGACUCAACAUACCAGCCCGUCAUUAUUACACGAAGACAUACCAGCUCGACCUAAUCACCUUUGGAGCUCCCGGUUGGAUUAUAAGCAUACAUUACCAAGCUCGGCAUAUGUGGACUAUGAGAGUGUUUUGGUCGAGGUCCGGUCAGAACAUGGGAUGAUCGACGGCAAAGAAGCGUAUCCUGCCCAAAGUUUCCUUCACCCACCCAUUGCAAAGGCAGGAAAGGUACAAGUAAUUCAAGUUCAUUCAAGUAACAAUUCAGAAGAUCUAUUCAUUAAGUGAGGUUCAAAUCAGGGAGAGUAAUACGUGUUGUACUUUUUUUCUUUCACCAUGGUUUUGUCCCAAUUGGGUUUUCUGGUAAGGUUUUAAUGAGGCAACAUCCAAAGCGUAUUACAAGUUCUAAUGGUUAUAGCAUCCAAGGGGGAGUGUUAUAAAUCAUAUUGUGGAUGGUCCAUAACCAUAGCAUCUUCCAAGACCAUACUCGGCCCAUACACAUAGGCGGCUAAGUUUUUGGGAUGUUUUUCCUUUCUCUUGUCUUAGUAGUUUUCCUAAUCCUAGUUGGUUUAGGUUUUGGAUACUUUCCAUAUUUAUAUAUCUUGUAAUCUUUAUAUAAAUGAACCAUAUGUUUUAUGAAUAAAUAUACAAACUAUUCCCCUUAGUUUUAUAACAAAAAUUAAUAUUUCGUUCUUUUUGUUAUAAUUUUCAGAUUUUUUUAAAAGUGAUUAACCCAGUUAAAAAUCGAAGAAAAGGUUCAAUGAAACACCAUUUUAUUCCAUGAAUCCGGUCCGGUAGGUUGCGAUGGUUCAGGGUUUACGUUACGUGACAGAGUUUUCUAAAUGGAUUACGUGCUUCUCAUGGAUACGGUUUCUCUUGUUAUCAGAUUUGUGUAUUUUGGUGAAUGAAAUUGAUUUGUUUGUGCUAGCUGAGUCUUGCAACAUCGGCCGAUGAUGAUGUUGACAGGGCCGGCCCCAGAUUUAGGGGGCUGUAGGCGGUUUCUAAAAAGUUUCAGCUAAAUUUUUUUUUUGGUAAAUUUGGGGGCCUAAAAAAAAAUUUUAGGGGCUUUUUUCUAUGUAAUUUUUUCAAAAAUUUUUGGGGAACUAAGGCCAAUGUUUCGUUAGGCUUUGCCCAAGACCGGCCCUGGAUGUUGAUGACACCAAAGGGAAUUCUCACAGAGGAGAUAGGAGAAAAAGAGUGGUCAAGGGUAUCAUCAAUGUAGAAGAAUUUGGUGAAGGAGCAAGCUCUCGUUGAACUUAAUCAGAAAAGGUGCAUGAAGCAUGGAUUCGAUUUACAAUGUGCUUUGGGAGUAAUAUGCAAGUUCUGAGGAGAGAAGAGAGAAAGCUGAAGAUAUCCCAUGUAGAGAUUUUAAGUUCUUUCAUGGAGAAAAAAUGGGAGAUGUUGAAGAAUGACAGUGACCAUGUAAUUGGGGUUGUGAGAUAUAUGUUGAGCUUGGUGAUGUGUCUUUAUGGAUGCAAACACUGAGACCAUAGAAGUUCUGACUAAUAAAAAGGUUGAUGAAUUAUAACAUGAGAGAUGGUCUGAGGCAGUUCUGAAAUAUGAUCGCUGCUGGAAGGUGUAAAGCUUUUUUUUGUUUGAAAGCAUUCUCAACUGGAUAACUUGGGUGAUAAGAAGAAAACUCAAGAACAGAGACAAAGGAGAAGCUGUAGAUUUGAUACAUUGCUCCAGUCAUACUUGGACAUCUUGCUAUAUGAAAGACAUGAUUUAGAUUAGAGAGACCUAGCCUUAAAAGGUCACAGGACCUUUUAAGCGUAGAUUCACUAUUUCAUUGUAUAAGAGAAUCUUUACUGAUAAUAUUUAAUUGGUCUCUGAUGAUAAAAACACCGAAAGCUUCUCUUAAUAGUAAACGCUGAGAUUUCUUUGUUGAAAAGUCAAACGGGAGAAGGAUCCCAAAGUUAUGUUUCUCCUGUUUCAUCUGUAGCAAACAUGUAAGUUGCACGCAUUGGUAAAACCGUAAAAGUAAUCCAGGGACCAGCCUUGAGCGAUAUCACCAUCAUGAUCCCUUCAUGAACCAGAGUUAAACUCGUAGAAGUCGUCACUUUAAUAACAAUAAAAUUUUGCAUAAUCUUAGCAACAUACAUAGUAGCCAACCAGAAUAUUAAAUAAGGAACAAAGAUGAGAGAAAAUUACAGAGAGUUGCAUUAUUGAUAACGGAAAAAAACCGCUGGAGAUUACAAUUAGCUUUGGUAAUAAAAACACCACUGUCUCUUUUACAAAAAACAAAGAGGAUUCAAAGUACUUGGAGAUGACAUUGCCAUGGGAGAUUACAUUUUCAUUCACUAAAAUGGGUACAUUGCUAUAUUAUUCUUCCUUUUUACAACUGAAAAGAUUCAAAAGUAGAACACAAAGAAUUUCAUGGACCAACUGAAGAAACCAAAAAAAAAAUUGAAGAAACCAAGGAGG